rnacentral:lncRNA from 1 species
GAUAAGGUGGCGCAUGGGAUUAGUUGUCCAUUCAAAUUCAAACUUUAUUUGAAUUUGAAUGGCCAACCAACCAUCUUUAUCCACUCUGAUGGCACACACAGGUGGGGCAUGGGAAGGCUUUUGCGUGGAAGAAAAUUCAUGAGAACUUGUUUCUCAUGAAUUCAAAUAGGCAUAGGUGAGUGAGGUGGCGCAGGGAGAUAAGUCAAAGGUGGUUUCAAACCUAAUUGAACCAACC